GCGCCCUCGGUAAGACACGCGGGACUCGGCGCGCCCGCGGAGCGCUGCAUCACCUUUCCUUCUUGAUGGGUGCUGUGCUUACAGGGACGAAGGCCGGCAGGUGGAAUGCUGUUCCCCAUCCCUAAACCAGCCACAGGGCCACAUGGAGGAUCCUAGCUCGCUCUCCAGGUCCAGCUCAGUGGCUGCUUCCAAAGACUCCCUGGAGCAUCUCCUUGGCUCUCCUUUAGCCAGCAGGAUGCCUGCCCUUCUCCCGUGGGGCUGAGGUGGAUCUUACCCUUCUGUUAGGCUGUGCUUAUAGACCCUGUCCUCUUGGACCAGCCCCCAGGGAGGACUUACCUGCGGUGCUGCCCUUUGCUGUCUAAGCAUAAGUAUUGGACUAGUUUCCAGAACGAAGUACAAACCAUUCUUCCAGAACCUUUCUUGAAUAUUCCUCUUUCUCUAGGACUGCGGUUCGGACUGGGGGGCAGCAGCAGAUGGGGACAUAUUGGAAACGCAAAUUAGCGGGCCCCGCCGUAAACUUACUGAAUCAGUCUCUGAAGGUGGGGUCUAGUCAUCCUUUGUUUGCUUUUAAGAUUUUAUUUAUUUCAGAGGAGAGCGCGAUCGAGCACGAGCAGCGUGAGGGGCAGAAGAACAGACCCUAAUAAUCCGUUUUAAUACUACCUGCAGGAAAAAUGUGAGAACCACUGCUCUAGAAGCCUACAAAUGUCAUCUAAAUAUUGGUUCAAUGAUGUUACUAGUAUGAGAACUGGAGGAAAACAACACAUUCAAAACAAUAACAUUGGAAUGCAAGUUUGAUGUAAUAAGGGCUCACUGAUGACCUCUCUCUACCAGCCGUCAAGACUUCUCUUCUGAUUCAUGCUGCUAAUGGCCACCUGGACAACUUCACUUCAACUGCCCAUGGGUGGGCACAAGAAAGACAUUUUGAACUACUGUGGCUGUUUCACUCAGUGUUUUUGAUCAUAUAUUUUAGCUGGGCUAAUAUUGAUGACAUUUCGUCGAGAAACUCCAUUCAGCAACUCCAUUAAGCCAAUUUAAUUUUUUAUCAAUUUCCUCUGCAAUAUAUUUCCAUUUUGUUGUAAUUAUUUUCAUUGGGAUCCAGUUUCUUCAAUAUGUUUUAUAAUGGAGACUUAGUCAAUUUUUGGUUCAUUUCAAAUUUUACCAAUGUAUCUUCUGCGACUAAGUUCUCUUGUGGCUACUAUACCUAUAAAAUUCAAAUUUCCUGGUCAAAAAUUUCGAUUUAAACUUUGUCAAAAUUUCAUUCUUCCACCAAUUUUUAAUGAUGUGUGGUUUUAACGGAUUUGAAUUUAACUUAGAGUAUUUCUACCAGUAAUAUUCAUUAUAAACUGAAUAAAGAUCAACGGUUUAUAUUUA